AUGGAAAUAUUGUGUAGAUGUAGUGUCUCAGAAACCCCCAGCAGAGGGUGUCACAGUACGUCUUCCUCCCUGUUUGCAAGGGUGGGGUCUUUGCUUCUUAAUAUUACAGCUUCUUUGAUGCGGCAUUGUGCUUUACCUUUUUGUCAUCAUCACGGUGAUGUUCACACUCACAAUUCCCACAUGCUCAUAAGUUUGUGUGUGUGUGUUUGCUUCCUUUGCGCUCACUCUCUGAGAGAUUCUCCCUCACAGCGGUGUUUCUUUUCUUCUUCUCCCUCCCAGCAGAUGGCAGAGCGGGGCAGGGCGGUGAGAGUGAGCGGCCUGCCCACCGACGUGGAGGACGACAGGCUGAAAGACAAGCUGCUCAUCUACUUCCUGAGGGCCAGGAACGGAGGAGGGGAAGUGGAGUCCGUCACCGUCGUCAGGGCGACGCCCGCCUCUGCCCUCAUCACCUUCGAGGAGAGCGAAGCGGCACAGAGGGUCGUUCGACAGAGCCCGCACACUCUGGACCUGGACGGGAAGACGUACGAACUCGUCGCCACCGAGCAUCACGAGAGCCUGGACCCAGACCAGGUCAUCCUGAGUUUGACAGCGUCUGUCAACUGCAGCCAGCUCCCCGGGGGCAUGUUGACGGUGGAGAGCCUCCACGGGAGCCACCCGGACGUCCAGAUCAACUACGUCGCCGAGGAAAUCUGCACGUUGCUCGGCGAGUACUCCAAAGUCCAGGCCGCCUUGGCUCAGUUGCUCGGCCCGCACUCAGCGGACGGACACUCGCCAGGUCGACUCGACCGCACCGGCUCCACGUCGGCUCAGACCGACAGGAAGUCUCUCGUUGUUCACAGCGGGAAACCUAACAGGCCACGGGCACAGAGCGAGGCGGCUCCCGGUGCCAAACCGCCUGACGAGCACAACCCGAGCUCGCGCGGCGACCCGACGCCUAGUGGCUAUGGCGGUGCAGACGCCGGCCAGGCCGCGGGCGCAGGUGCGCAGCCUCCCGCCGCACCGGACGAGAACUUCUCCCUGAUCGUGGACGCAGACAUGUUCCAGUAUGUGCGGAAACACCGCUCGAGGGAGUACCAGUACGUCCUCGGCCUGUACGACGUGGAGGUGGUGGACGUGACGAGCCAGGGGCUGACCACGCUGUUCCUGCAGGUCGCAGCAGGAGUGAUGGAGUGCAGGAGGGCGGAGCAGGGGCGCCUGGAGUCGGCGCGGAAGGCGCUGAGUAGGUUUUACCAGGAGAACGAGACCAAGAUCUGUCGGGCUCAGCUCGCCAAGGGCGUCCUGUCCCCCGGCGGAGGGCUGCAACGGGGGGCGAUAGAGGGCUUGAACGCCAGACUCCCCAAGCUUCUUCUGAACGAAGACGACACAAAUAUUUACAUCGUCGGGAGCAUCGGCGACGUGUCCGAAGCCAAGCGAUUCCUCCUCCUGGACCACGACAAGGUGAGGGCUACCAAGGACGACGUGGCCAGCCUCUUCAGUUACCCAGCGUAUGACCCGAGCUCCUUAGCCCCUGCCGACGCGGCGAGCGCCGUCACCGCGUCCCCCGCCGAGGGCCGCCUGAGCGAUGGGCGGGAUCAGCUGCUGAGGUCGGAGGAUGACGAGAGGAGAGCUGCUGAGGGAGCCAGAAGGUGGGAACUGGAAGCUCGGUUUAAGGAUUUGGGGCUGGCCGCGCUAGGCGCUCGACCGACCGACUUCACCCUGCGCCCUGGGCCCUCGUCUCCGAGCAGGCAAGCGCGCGCUGGGCCAAUGUUGGGGCACGACGUGCUCUCAGAAACAACAGGGCUUCCCAGAGACAGGGUCCCCAGGGCAGAAUCCCAAAUCACCGGAGGGGACAUCUUGUUCAAAGGCGGAGUUGUGCAUUCGCCUGCCUCCGCCACGCAGAACAAAGUCUCCUUGAACUCGAAUUGUUUGGACGCCGCACCCAAGAAUUUGACGCCCAGCCUCAGCACCGCUGCGCCCAGUUCGCCGGGAAGCCCCGCGCGUCCGCCCGCAGAGUCGGGGUCCACCCUGAGGCGGGCCAGUAGCUUUUCGGGAACCCCCCAGCAGAAGGCUCAGGCGACGAGUCGGAAGAGCCACGACGACUCCGGCAGGUCCACAUCGAGAGCCAGGUCUUCCAGCGUCAGCAUGCAAACGGGGAGCGACAGGCGGGACGUCUCCAACGCAGAGAUUACAGUUUCCAUAAUAAUGUGGCAGCACAUUAAAGACGCCUACAGCAGCCGCGUGAAAGACCUGACCGCCGACGACGUCCAGCUGAAAGAAAGCCGGCGGGAGGGCGGCGACCAUCUGACCGUCUCCUUGAGUGGGACCAACCAGUCCAAGGUCAGUUCGUGUCACCUGGGUCUACAGACGCUGGUGGAGUCGGUCGGCGCCGACUUCUCCGUGCAGGUGCUGCUCCUGUCAGAGCUCGGCGUCACCGGUCCGAAAGACGAAACCCUCAAGGCGUGUUGUGCGGACGUGUGCAACCGCUAUAAGAAGAUUAGCAUCCUGAUUCUGAAAAAGAGAUUACUCCUGCUGGGUCCGGAACAGCUGUGUUCGCGGGUCGGCGCCACACUGCGGGAGGUAUUUUCUACGGAAUUGGCCCAAACGCCUAAACAGCAGGACUUCUCUCCCUCGUCCGCCACCGGCGGGAGUCUGUCCGCGUCGUUGCAAGUGAACGAGGAGCACAGAAGUUUGCCGCGCGGCAACAGCAGCUCUCAGGCGACGGCCGGAAGCCAGGCGGGCCGCGCCGAGGAGGUCGACGGCGGUGACCCGGAACGGGCAGCGCACCAUGAGCGGGACUCGUGCGAGGCGGAGCCCGUGAACGGACCCGUCGAUCCGCCGCCGCCGCCGCCGAGGAAAAACCCCGUCCUCAAGGAGAAAGUGAAAAGCAGGAGCACAGACGGGCUGGAGACACUCUUCAUCCCCCCGGCGGCGGGGAGCGCGACGCGCGGCAACGGCGUGGGCUCGUCGACCGUCCACACCGAUGGAGCCGCGGCGGCUCCCAAAAAAGAGAGAGCCACCCAAAAGGACGGUGCGCCGCAAAGAAGAGCGGAGGUCCAGGCCCCGGCGGGGGAAUCCAGGUCGGGUCCGAGGGACCUGGGCUACAUCUGCGUGUGCGGGGACGACGGCGCGUCGCGGUGA
ensembl:lncRNA